rnacentral:lncRNA from 1 species
UCCUGUUUUGCGGACACCCUCGCCCCCAGAGAUUAAUGUGGCUGCUUAUGACUAAGAAUUCUGGGACCACAGAUGUUCAGAGAAGUAACAUAUACAUAUAAGAAACAUGAUUCCAGUGACCGAGUUCCGGCAGUUCUCCGAGCAGCAGCCUGCCUUCCGGGUGCUGAAGCCGUGGUGGGAUGUGUUCACGGACUACCUCUCGGUGGCCAUGCUGAUGAUCGGGGUGUUUGGAUGUACUUUACAAGAAGCCUGAAAACUCAUUUACUCAAGUUGCCUGUCAAGAUGGUGCCGUGCUUCGAAGAAUUCAGGGAAGCCACUUGCUCAAGUGAUAGUUGAGGCCGUUAGCAUCAAGACGGGCUCCUCGUCUUUCGUUACCUUCACGUCGAAGUAUGCGACAGCGUGCAUUCACAGCGCCGCCUCCGUUGUCCAAUACGCUUUUUGCUUUUCUCUGCCUCUCAUGCCUGAGCCAAAGUUUUUCUGGGAGAAUUAAUAUUUUGGUGAGAUGCCAAGAUGUACUCAGUGUUUAGUACUGAAUUAAAAUGUAACUCGAU